rnacentral:rRNA from 1 species
GACGAACGCUGGCGGCGUGCCUAACACAUGCAAGUCGAGCGGAAAGUUAGCAAUAACUUUUAGUGGCGAACGGGUGAGUAACGCGUGGGCAACCUGCCCUUCAGACGGGGACAACAUUCCGAAAGGAGUGCUAAUACCGGAUACGACCUUUAGACCGCAUGAUUUAAAGAAGAAAGGUGGCCUCUAUUUAUAAGCUACCGCUGAAGGAUGGGCCUGCGUCUGAUUAGCUAGUUGGUGGGGUAAAGGCCUACCAAGGCGACGAUCAGUAGCCGGUCUGAGAGGAUGAACGGCCACACUGGACUGAGACACGGCCCAGACUCCUACGGGAGGCAGCAGUAGGGAAUCUUCCGCAAUGGACGAAAGUCUGACGGAGCAACGCCGCGUGAGUGACGAAGGUUUUCGGAUCGUAAAACUCUGUUGUGAGGGAAGAACAAGUACCAACUAACUACUGGUACCUUGACGGUACCUCACCAGAAAGCCACGGCUAACUACGUGCCAGCCGCCGCAGUAA